GUUAUAUGAAGACAAAGCUCUGUCGUUGUUUUAUGGACAGCUUGUAAUUCAAUACGUGUUGCGUUUUUUUGAGUGAUGAUAUCGCGUGUGUAGCGCUGACAGGACUCUGGUCUGUCUACAAUUACACAUCCAUUUACCGGGGUGCGAGGUGGGGAGCGGAGGAAGGUGCUGGGCGUGCUUGAAACUUACGCAUAGACCCCAGGCUACGCUGGUUUUUGUACACAGGGUGAAGGAGAGGACCCUGAUCUGGGGCAGCCUUGUCUCCGCUGUGGGGAUCAGUGUCUCUCUCUCUCUCUCUUUCUCUCUUUGUCCCUCGUUGUUAACCCCUCUCUCCCUCUCUCUCUCAGCAGGGUGAAGGAGAGGACCCUGAUCUGGGGCAGCCUUGUCUCCGCUGUGGGAAUCAGUGUCCAGGCUUCAGGCUGCACGGAUGGAGGGCCCCCUAUCCCUCCCUCCCUGUCCUAAUUGAGUUAUCAACCCCCCUGUCCUCUCCCUUAACUGAUCACCCGUCUGUCUCCUCACUGAGACACUAACACGCUCUGUCACACUAACAGGAUUAUAGCUAAGCACCCCUAAUGAGCUUAACAUGAAGACUAUCAACUCUGACACCUGCACCUCCCUCCCUCCCUCCCUCCCUCCCUCCCCCCCCUGUGCUUUCCAAUACUUGUCUAUGCUUUACCACGCUUUAUUAUUCUUUGCUCUGGUUUUACUAUGGGCCACUUUUAUAAGUGAACAAAGUAUAGAAGUCUGGACCAGAACAAUCAAUACCUAAAUGGGAUUGAGACCAU